ACGAACGCUGGCGGCGUGCUUAACACAUGCAAGUCGAACGGAGAGGCCCUGCUUUUGUGGGGUGCUCGAGUGGCGAACGGGUGAGUAACACGUGAGUAACCUGCCCUUGACUUUGGGAUAACUUCAGGAAACUGGGGCUAAUACCGGAUAGGAGCUCCUGCUGCAUGGUGGGGGUUGGAAAGUUUCGGCGGUUGGGGAUGGACUCGCGGCUUAUCAGCUUGUUGGUGGGGUAGUGGCUUACCAAGGCUUUGACGGGUAGCCGGCCUGAGAGGGUGACCGGCCACAUUGGGACUGAGAUACGGCCCAGACUCCUACGGGAGGCAGCAGUGGGGAAUAUUGCACAAUGGGCGGAAGCCUGAUGCAGCAACGCCGCGUGCGGGAUGACGGCCUUCGGGUUGUAAACCGCUUUCGCCUGUGGCGAAGCGUGAGUGACGGUAAUGGGUAAAGAAGCACCGGCUAACUACGUG
rnacentral:rRNA from 1 species